GUCACGAGGCAUACAAUUGCCCUUUUAAAGAAUUGUGUCUAAAAAUGAAUUAUUCUUCCGUCCAACUAAAAAAGGGUUAUGAUCGUGUCCAUCCGACAGAAGAUCAUAGGUGUCAUAUUAGACUCGAACCUGAUCUCUUGGACACCCCAGUGUGGAACUCGUAUGGAUGACUUGUUUAUAUGCGUGAUCAUUGUGGCGUCUCUCUAGAGGAAAAUGCCUGGCCGCCGCCAUUUUGGGAAAAGCGUUGCUUCAUGCUAAUAAUCUGAGAAGUGCUGAUAACUCUUGGAGCGCGGCGAAAGCAGUUCUUCGCUAAGUCGACCGUGACCUGCGCUUUGAACCAACAUCCAAAGAAUAGACAAGUCUCCCUGAGGUCAACAAUAAAAUGAACCUUUAAGAAGAAAAAGUAGUCUUGGACAUCAGAAGCCACAAAAGCCGCAAUCUUGAUUCCUCCCCCCUCACGUGAGACAUUGCAUCUUAAAGUGAGACACAGUGCCAAUAGUCGUCAGAUUGAUUAAUAUGCAGAUGUUGAAGUAAUUCCUGGAUGAAUUGCUGAUUAAGGAUGAUACGAAAGUGCGAGCGUAGUUUAAACUCACGAACUGGAAGUGUAGAGUUCAAUUGAUGACCGUGCAUUUUGUGGUAUACUUUAUGAAGCUGAUGCCGCUUCCCAGAAGUUGGUGUCUCAAUUUCUAGACUGCCUGACUCGCUCGAGGCAAAAGCUUGACGUUUGAAGUCCAUUUUACAUAUCUUCUUCCGUCUGCCUUGAACCUCGAGCUCGAGUCACACGACUGUGGUGGAAUUACAAGCCAGAGACAAAACAGAAGAAAUAGUAUCCUUUUCUUAUUCUCUCUUUCUUUCAAAUAUACGCUGUAUGUGCAUUUAAUUUACUGGUAGAUACAAUUUCCGAUUCUAUUGAUAUUUUGUUUUGA